CGGCCCCUCCUGCCUGUGCCCCUGCUUCAGUUUCCACAUCCGAGAUGCAAGUGCGGACCCCGGCUCUCUGAGUGCCUGACGUGGCAUCGGCAGAGUCCUGCUCAAGCAGAAGCGCUGGAGAGAAAGCGUAGCUUCCUCAAGUGAACACACUGCUUUGAAGCUGUCUGCACUGAGAGGUCAUAGCUUUACAUUUUGAAGACACAUUGACUUGAAAUGUUUAUUUUAUUGGAACAAGGUGGUCUGCCCACUCAUUCAACAACCACUUGAGUCAAAUGGGAUCAAGCUCUGGUCCUCACACUUACAGGUAAAGUUCUUGUUUGUUCUGUUGAACUGUCUCCCCAGUCCAUUACCAGACUCAUAUCUAAGUCCAUCUUCUUUUCUUCUCCCAAGUAUUAUUAAAAUUAAUAAAGCUGCAUAUAAUUUACCUGAAGUAUGUGAAAGUAUCUGUUAGUUUGUGUCCAAGGGGCACAAAUGCUAGGGUUAUAGGCAUAUGUUAGUUACCAUGCUUGAUUUUUAUGCACUGUGUGGGGUCAAACCCUGGGCUUCAUAUGUGCUCGCUUGGUAAGCACUUUGCUCACUCAGCUGUAUCCCCAGUUUGAAGAUGCUUGUAUUUUGCAGUGCUGUGGAGAGGUCUGAUUUCAUUUUGACUUAGAGCCCUUUGCAAUGUAACAUCUGUCUCCUACCGAGAGAUUUCUCUUUGUCUUGGAUCUUAGAACUUUAUGAUGAGGACUUUUUGCUUUUAAAUUCAUUGCACCAGGUUUUUCAAGCUUUUCAAGCUGGGGCUUGUUUCUUGUUGUCUUAGGGUUGCUUGAAUUGUUCCUAGUUGUUCUGAGUAGAACUGCAAAUACUCUCAUAGUCACAAAUCCUUUUGUCUACCCUUUCAUUUUUAACCACAACUAAAAAGAAGAUGACUAAAGCAAAAAGCUCUUGAAAUUCUCUACUGACAUUGGAUUUUUUUUUUGUUUGUGCAUAGCAUCAUCUAGCUAUACCCACUUGUUCCAUACGUUUUUUUCCCCAGGGAGCUUAUA